GCCAGACUCCUACGGGAGGCAGCAGUGGGGGAUAUUGCACAAUGGGGGGAACCCUGAUGCAGCGACGCCGCGUGGGUGAAGGAGCGUUUCGGCGCGUAAAGCCCUAUCGGCAGGGAAGAAGGAGGACGGUACCUGACUAAGAAGCCCCGGCUAACUACGUGCCAGCAGCCGCGGUAAUACGUAGGGGGCAAGCGUUAUCCGGAUUUACUGGGUGUAAAGGGGGCGCAGACGGCGAUGCAAGCCAGGGGUGAAAGCCUGGGGCCCAACCCCGGGACUGCUCUUGGAACUGCGUGGCUGGAGUGCAGGAGGGGCAGGCGGAAUUCCUGGUGUAGCGGUGAAAUGCGUAGAUAUCAGGCGGAACACCGGUGGCGAAGGCGGCCUGCUGGACUGCAACUGACGUUGAGGCCCGAAAGCGUGGGGAGCAAACAGGAUUAGAUACCCCCGUAC
rnacentral:rRNA from 1 species